GAUGAACGCUGGCGGCGUGCCUAAUACAUGCAAGUCGAGCGAAUGGAUUAAGAGCUUGCUCUCAUGAAGUUAGCGGCGGACGGGUGAGUAACACGUGGGUAACCUGCCCAUAAGACUGGGAUAACUCCGGGAAACCGGGGCUAAUACCGGAUAACAUUUUGAACCGCAUGGUUCGAAAUCGAAUGGCGGCUUCGGCUGUCACUUAUGGAUGGACCCGCGUCGCAUUAGCUAGUUGGUGAGGUAACGGCUCACCAAGGCAACGAUGCGUAGCCGACCUGAGAGGGUGAUCGGCCACACUGGGACUGAGACACGGCCCAGACUCCUACGGGAGGCAGCAGUAGGGAAUCUUCCGCAAUGGACGAAAGUCUGACGGAGCAACGCCGCGUGAGUGAUGAAGGCUUUCGGGUCGUAAAACUCUGUUGUUAGGGAAGAACAAGUGCUAGUUGAAUAAGCUGGCACCUUGACGGUACCUAACCAGAAAGCCACGGCUAACUACGUGCCAGCCGCCGCUGUAA
rnacentral:rRNA from 1 species